rnacentral:rRNA from 1 species
GACGAACGCUGGCGGCGUGCUUAACACAUGCAAGUCGAACGGUAAGGCCCUUCGGGGUACACGAGUGGCGAACGGGUGAGUAACACGUGGGUGAUCUGCCCUGCACUUCGGGAUAAGCCUGGGAAACUGGGUCUAAUACCGGAUAUGACCGCAUGCUUCACGGUGUGUGGUGGAAAGCUUUUGCGGUGUGGGAUGGGCCCGCGGCCUAUCAGCUUGUUGGUGGGGUAAUGGCCUACCAAGGCGACGACGGGUAGCCGGCCUGAGAGGGUGACCGGCCACACUGGGACUGAGAUACGGCCCAGACUCCUACGGGUGGCUG